GUACUUUCCUGGCUGGAGAGAGAGCGCGCGUGUAUCACGGUCACAUGACUGCUUUUCUCAGGGCCAGGCUCAUCCACUGUAUUCCUCGUGUGCUAAUCCUAGGAUUUCCCCAAACAUAGGUAUCUCAGCUGCUUCAUUUAUGGUAUGGGGCUAGUGGUUGUGGUAGGGGAGGUGCAGAUUAUAUUCAAGCUCUCCCUUA
rnacentral:snRNA from 1 species